UCUGGAGGGGGCUAGCGUUGUUCGGAAUUACUGGGCGUAAAGCGCACGUAGGCGGCUUUGUAAGUUAGAGGUGAAAGCCCAGGGCUUAACCCUGGAAUUGCCUUUAAGACUGCAUCGCUAGAAUCGUGGAGAGGUGAGUGGAAUUCCGAGUGUAGAGGUGAAAUUCGUAGAUAUUCGGAAGAACACCAGUGGCGAAGGCGACUCACUGGACACGUAUUGACGCUGAGGUGCGAAAGCGUGGGGAGCAAACAGG
rnacentral:rRNA from 1 species